AAACAAGCUUAAGUUGCUCUCCCAGAUCUGAGGACUGUAAGUGAUUACAUCCUUCUUGCAGAAGAAGAGCCAAAAGCCAGUGCUUGGCCAUGCUAUUAGGACAUGGUGUAGACACAGUAUUUACUGGGAGGUAAAUAUUGGAUAUCUAAAGAUACGAACAUAUUGGCUGUGGAGGAAAGAAUGGAAGAAUGAGAUGUCAUGAUGCCAACUUGGAGAAGCAAGAGUGAACAAGUUGAAUGUGAAAUCAGUGCUGCUGUGGAGUAUAAAGAACCAAUGACUGAAGAAAUCUACUUUGGAACACACCCUGAAAGAAUUGUGGUUCUGCUGUAUGGAUCUGAGAAGCCCCGCUCUGCAGAGAGGAUACUAGCAGUUGAACAGUGCUGUUGCUGUCAGUGGGAUUACUUAUGCUGA
rnacentral:lncRNA from 1 species